rnacentral:rRNA from 1 species
AUUGAACGCUGGCGGCAUGCCUUACACAUGCAAGUCGAACGGUAACGCGGGGCAACCUGGCGACGAGUGGCGAACGGGUGAGUAAUGCAUCGGAACGUGCCCAGUAGUGGGGGAUAGCCCGGCGAAAGCCGGAUUAAUACCGCAUACGACCUACGGGUGAAAGCGGGGGGCCGUAAGGCCUCGCGCUAUUGGAGCGGCCGAUGUCAGAUUAGGUUGUUGGUGGGGUAAAAGCCUACCAAGCCGACGAUCUGUAGCUGGUCUGAGAGGACGACCAGCCACACUGGGACUGAGACACGGCCCAGACUCCUACGGGAGGCAGCAGUGGGGAAUUUUGGACAAUGGGGGCAACCCUGAUCCAGCCAUGCCGCGUGCGGGAAGAAGGCCUUCGGGUUGUAAACCGCUUUUGUCAGGGAAGAAACGCUCUGGGCUAAUACCCCGGGGUAAUGACGGUACCUGAAGAAUAAGCACCGGCUAACUACGUGCCAGCAGCCGCAGUAA